rnacentral:misc_RNA from 1 species
AAGUCGUAACAAGGUUUCCGUAGGUGAACCUGCGGAAGGAUCAUUAACACAAAUUGGGUGGCAUUCGUGCCGCCCACUUUUUAUCAAACCCAAAAUCGUUUCGUGUGAACCCUUUUUUCCCCUCCUUUUUUUAAACGCCAAAUUAUAAAAACUUGAAUUAACUGAAAAGAAUGUGUUUUAAUUAACACUUUUUUUUACGUAACUUCUGAAGAACUCUUAACAACGGAUAUCUUGGUUCUC